rnacentral:rRNA from 1 species
CCUACGGGUGGCUGCAGUGGGGAAUAUUGCACAAUGGGGGGAACCCUGAUGCAGCAACGCCGCGUGGGUGAAGAAGUACCCCGGUAUGUAAAGCCCUGUCAGUAGGGAAGAAAAUGACGGUACCUGACCACGAAGCCCCGGCUAACUACGAGCCAGCAGCCGCGGUAAUACGUAGGGGGCCAGCGUUAUCCGGAUUUACCGGGUGUAAAGGGAGCGUAGUCGGCAAGGCAAGUCUGGAGUGAAAGCCCGUGGCCCAACCCCGGGACUGCUUUUGAAACUGGGAUGCUGGAGUGCAGGAGGGGUAAGCGGAAUUCCUGGUGUAGCGGUGAAAUGCGUAGAUAUUAGGAAGAACACCGAUGGCGAAGGCAGCAUACUGGACCGUAACUGACGUUGAGGCUCGAAAGCGUGGGGAGCAAACAGGAUUAGAUACCCCGGUAGUC